AAAAUACUCCCUCCGUCUGAAAAUACUUGUCAUCAAAAUGGAUAAAAAGAGAUGUAUCUAGAACUAAAAUACGUCUAGAUGCAUCCCCUUUUAUUCAUUUUGAUGACAAGUAUUUCCGGACGGAGGGAGUAUUGA
rnacentral:pre_miRNA from 1 species